AAUGGGGGCUGGAGGGGAGCGCGGAUGCGGCUCCCGGGGUUUUUUUUUUUUUUUUUAUGAAUGAAGGGCAGCGGCAGCUGCGCAUGCACCGCGCCCCCCGCCCGGGGCUGGAGGCACUCAUCCGCUUCCAGCCGUUCUGCUCGCGGGAAGAUAAAUGGAGGGGAGGAAUCCUGGGCAUGGCUGCACGGGAGCGGGCUCACAACGCACUGGGUGAUGCACAACAGCUUUUCCAGGCACGUUUCUCCCCCUCCCUCCACGAAUUUUAUUUCUGUAUGAAGUCUCCUCUGAUAAAUAUCCCCAACAGUGAUUUCAGACAAACACCCUAA
rnacentral:lncRNA from 1 species